CAGAGUGAGACUCUGUCUCAAAAAAAUAUAUAUCUGUGAGGUAACAAUCUAAACAUGUUUGAGCUAGUGCAUCAGUAAGUUAACUCCUUACAUCUGUUAACUCAGCAAGCAGUAACAAGUGAUUUAAAAAAAAAAAAAAAAAGGAGUGGGAAAUGAGCCACAGCUUUGCCAUCAAAGACUUCAGCGUCUCUUAGGGGAAACAGAUGUAAGCAAAUAAUGACACGAUUUAGGGCAGAGAUAGGAGGAUCAACUUGCCUCUGCGUGGGGGAAAUGUUAGGGAAGUUCGGGUUAUCCAGGCCUGCAAUGUGUGUAAAGGGAUUUCAGACAUAGAAACAACAGAGGGCCAAGACAUAAAUAAAAUUUUUAGUUUAAGGAAUCCGAAGUUUAGUGUGACUACUUGGGGUGACUUCGGAGAGGAUGGGAUCAUGAUGUCAGAAGCUGAAAUUGGUAGCAGUUGAAGGAUUCUAAGCCAGGAAGGAAUCAUUUUCUAUUUUAGGAUGGAUUUGAGAAAGUUAAGACCAAGAGGCACUUAACAGACCCCUGAAAUAGAAAAGAUAUAUGAGGGCAUUGGUUAUAAGGAUAGUGAAGAGACAAGUUCAGAAAUAUGUAGGACAUUAAGUCUGCAAGAUGAAGUUGGGAUGAAAUAAAAAAGAAUCACAAAAAUCUCGUUUGGGGCUUGCUGAGGUUGUGCCAACAAAUAAGCUGGUAGCUAGAUUGUUAACAUGAGUAACUGCUUGCAACAACUUGAUUAUUCGAAGUUACAGUGCAUUGAUAACUAUGGUACAGUGUGAUCUGAUGCUGCAAGAUUACCAAUGUUACCAAAUGACAAAGACAUCAGGGGAGAAUUUAAACUUUCAAUGAUUGACCAAGGAGUUGUACAUUUCAUUUUGUAACAAGGGCAUAAGAUAAAAACCCCCAAAAGAUAUUAACAAGAAUUUAUAUUCCAAGUUCGGGUCAUUGUCUGAAAUUAUAGUUCUGGUGGUUGGCAGCAUAGUAACCAUUACAGGAGAUCGGAAAUGAUGACACGAGCUCAGACACAGUGGCUCACACCUGUAAUCCCAGUGGUUUGGGAGGCCAAGGCCAGAGGAUUGCUUGAGCCCAGGAGUUCGAGACCAGCCUGAGCAACAUGGUGAGACCCCAUCUCUACAAAAAAUAAAAAAUAGCCAGGUAUGGUAGGUGUGUACCUGUAGCCCCAGCUACUUAGGAGGCUGAAGCAAGAGAAUGGCUAGAGCCUGGGAGAUUGAGGCUGCAGUGACCCAUGACCACAGCACUGUUCUCCAGCCUAGGCAGCAGAGCAAGACCCUGUCUCAAAAAAAAAAAAAAAAAA
rnacentral:lncRNA from 1 species